UUGAAUAUUUGUUUUAUAUUCACCUAAUUUUAUUUUCUUUGAGAUGAACAUAGUUUAGUUUUUACAGUGAACUGAAGUUGGACUGUGAAUUUACUGUUAGUUGUAAGGUUAUUAACAAAAUCUAUAUUGGGAAUUAAAAUGUUAUUUUUCAUAUUUACAACACAAUAAUGUAUUUUAUACAAUGACAGUGGCCUGGUGACAUGUUUCUUAUUUUGGACAUUUUAUUUAGAGUCUUUGAGGCACAGAUUGAGCGCCACUUGUAGGUUGUUCAGACAGGAAGAGUAUGUGGCUUUUCUAUUCAGCCGUGUUCCAUUAUCAGGCUGUAUUUUACCCUGGGAGAUAUAGGCCUCCUGGACCACGCCUCCUAAAAAAAGAACAUUUUGUUCACAGAACUACACAGGUUUGCAUUGCAGACCACGUGUCACAUUAAGUAACAAGCUCUGAGGUCAACUUACUCAACUUCUUGCACAUUUUUUAAGGCGGUGUAAUGUGUUGCUACAUGCUGGCCCACAGUGUGAAAUCAGUUCGAAGCUGGGUCGGAUUUAAUUUGGAUUUUCUGAUCGGAUUUUUAGUGGCCAGGUUUUACUCUUCGGAUUGGAUCAGAAACCUCCCCCGGAUCCCUUCACCCCGUCUUUUAGUCGACUUUUCAAAGCAUAAUUUGAGUGUGCAGGCUUGAAGAAGUCACCGCGUGGGUGGGAAAAAUGGGUCAUUGGCUGUGAUCGCAACAUCAUCCUCAGCUGCGGAGGUAGGUGUGAAGAGUGCUGAUCUCAGAUCACCUGCAAUCUAAUAUAAAACAGACACAAUGAUACAGAUAUGAAUUAUAUUUUAUUUGCAGAUGCAUCCUUUGCUACAAAUAAUCAAGCGUUCACUGUUAUUGCAUUUUAGGUAAGAUAAUAUUUAUUUAGCAUUUACCAAAAGAUAAUUAAAUUGCUUAUUUGCAUUUCCUUUCUCAUAUUGUAUAUAAUAAUUUUAAGUAGUUAAAUCAAAAAUUUGCAGAAAUGUUUUUUUUUUUUAGCUGACAUUGAUUAAUUGUCGUAUUAAUUAAUAGAAUAAAUCAGUAACAAUAAUAAUAGAAUUGUUAGCUACAGCUCUGUGUGUGUGUGUGUGUGUGUGUGUAUUUAUGUAUGUAUGUAAAAACUAAAAUAAAUGCAAAAUCUGAAAUAAAUGCAAAUAAAAGGGGGAAAAUAGCCAGCAAGCCACAGGAGAUAAAACAGAAGAACCAGACAACAAACACCAGAGCAGGCCAUGAGUUGAGUUUGAAUCUCUGAGUCUUAAAUUCAGUUAUCUGAUAUAACAUAAACUACCUUUCACUCUGCAUUUUACUUAUCUCUUUCAAUUUUCAAACGUGGAAGAAGCUUAAUUUUGUAUCAUAUAAUAAUUAUGCGUUAUUUUUUUUGACAUCCUUCAAACUUCUGAGAUAUAAAAUCUUGAUUUUAUUUUGUAUAUCUAGUAAAGGUUUUAGUUGCAUUGUGAAAUAUUGACUGAUUUUCAUUGAAAACAUAUCAAUAGAUGUGGUUUGAUCACCUCUGAGCCUUAAAAUGCAGAAACCACAGAACUUAUGAACCAGAUUGUUUGGAUUUUUUUACUCAAGAGUAUAGCUGAAACAAUUACUGAAAUGACUGACAACUAAUUUAGAAAUUGAAUAAUUAACUCAGGGAUGCAGAUUUAAAAGGAGGCCAUUUGCUGAAAAAAACCCCCAAACAAACUCAGGGCAGUAAUUAAUCCAAAAUUGUAAUGAUAUAAACAUUUAGCAUUUAAGUUAAAACACCUUCUUUGUAUGAUCUACCCAGAACACCUCUAUUGGCAGUUUUAGGUUAACCUAGAUUAAAUUCUGUAAAAAUUAUAAUAAAAUAAUCUCCUAACAAGCAUCUUUUGUGAUCAAAUUAUUAAUCAUUUAGUCCAAAAAAAAAUCAGCAGAUCAGUCCUAGGCUGUAUUGAUGUUAUGUAAAGCAGAAUGACUGAACUUUUCACAUGUUGAUGUUAGAGAUAUUUUCUUUGCGGUUCUUUAAAAAAUUAUUGAAAUAUUUAUUUAUUUUGCGUCUAAGUUUGAAUAAAAUAAGCUCAAGUGAAAAAUUUAAAAUCAGCAGAAUUUAGAUUUUUUCCCCCCUGCUAUUAAUUGAUCAAUUGUUAGAAUACUUAAUAGAAUAUUCAAUUAUUUAAAUAAUUGUUAGUUUCUGCCCUACUCCUGGCAAAUUUUCUUUAUGAUUUAGAGUUUGUUGUUGUUUGCUGGGACUCUCACUUGGAAAAGCACUGUUCCUCUGUGACCUGGGUGGGCAUUUCCUUCUCCCAUUCAGCUUUAAUCUGUGUAGUUGAGGAAAGAAUCUUUGGUCUGAGCAUAAGGAGAUUUAAGCUCAGUGUUUUGUCUGUUGAUGAAAAAAGAAAUUUUUACACCCUUUUGAAACUUUGACAGAAAUGAAAUUAUUUAUUUUUCCUCCCAAUACACCAGUUUCUUAAUUAAGAAUUAGAUGCAUGAUAAAUGUACAAUUUUAUCAAGUUGUUGUACUGUUUAUCUGUCAAGUUUUCUUGCACUAUCCAGAGCUGUCUUUGGACAAUGAGCUAAAAAAUAGUAAAAACAAAACAAAAAAACAAAAAAAUCUCUUAAACUGCUACAGAAUGUGUUAAAUCGGACCCCAAUUUGCUCCUUUGGAGGAUAUGUAGGAAGUCACAACAAAAACAUUAAGUAGUCUAGAUCACUUUUUAUCAAGCAAUAAAAAUAUACAUUUUACGGAAGAGGAUUAG